UACAGUUAUGCUCCUGUCAACUGAAGUAUCUGAUGGUGUUCACGAUAGCCAGUCAAAUAGAACAUUUGAAAAGUAACUUCACUUGCAACUGUUUUAACCAAUUUAGGAGUACAAACAUUGCGUCCUCAUUCCUCCUUCUCCUCAGAUCACUAAUUGAGUGGCAGGUUGAAGAUAUUCCAUAAACCUCCAACCUUCAACUAGCUGGUUAAGGAAAAGGCCUAAUGGAAGCCAAUGUUAAAACACCCAUGAUUCUGAUAAAGAAAUGGGAGAAAUAGAGGAACAAAAGGUAGGAAACAUCAUGGUUAUGAUGGCUUGUCAGCAUCAAUAUCAUAUAGCUCUCGAUUUAUACAGUCUGGCAUUGGUAAGUUAGCUGUCUCCCUCUUUGUUUUCUUACAGGGGAUGUUUUUGAAUAAUUCUGUCCUUUGUCGUCAUCACAAGAAAUAUUAAGAAAGACUUUAAGAAAGACUUUAAACCUUAAUCUCUUAGUUUGAUAACGUUUUCACUUUUUUUUAAAAAAAAGCCUAGUAAAAAUAUAAAAGUAACCUUACUGUUAUGUUCUUCACAGCAGAGAAAUAAUUUUGAAGGUCUUGAUGUUCUAUGAAGGAAGCUCAUGAUGAUGUGCCCAUAGUGGACAUGAUUUAUUGUUAGAUUGUAGUGGAUUUCCAAUAAUGUUUCCUAACGUACUCAUGUUUAAAUCAAAUGAGUUGACUGUCACUAAUGCACUACAACAGAGAACAAAUAAACCAAUGUGAUUUUCUACUUACUGUCAGGGUAUGUGGUAAUCAUUGCUAUCCUAUCACGAGAAGGAACACCCAGUGCAACUGUCAAGCAUCCAUUCACUAGCCACUGUGGCAGUACUGAGGAAGAUAAAAUCACAUGAAAACUGCACAGUCAGAACAAGUCAAUCCCCUAAGAAUGCAGUCUCAGGACUGAGGAAAUAAUAACACAUGAGCAGGAAAUCUUAGUCUCGUGGAUGAGAGUGUUCACUACUCUCGCAGAGAAACUGAGUUUGGUUCCCUAGGUAGCUCACACCACCUGUAACUCCAAUUUCUUUAAAUCUAGAAGAGCCCCUCUGUGCACCUGAAUGUACAUGAUACGUACAAGCUCUUGCAGAAACACGCAUGCACAUACAUGAAUGAAAACAAAACCUAUCUUUUGAUAAAAGAGCAAUUGAAUAGAUCUUUCAAAAUCCCAUUUAAGUAUUCAUUAACAUUAACAAGUUGACUUCUUGAAAAGUUAUGUUGAUGUUUGGCCACAAAUGAUAUGCUUUUGUGGUUUUGCAGUACUUUUUAAUAUUAUAAACAUUGACAUUUUAAGACUAUAACAUUUACUAUUAUGUAUAAUAUAUUUAAAUAAGUACUCCAAUAUAGUCCUAUAUAGUCAUAAACACCAAUAGGUACUUUCAUGACACAAGGAAGAUGAAAAGUAGUAUCCCAAACAUAUCUAAUUAUGAACGUUUUCAACAAAUCAUUUAGGGAGAAGGGUCCGUGUAUUAGACAAAUUGUCGUUGCUAUAUCUUGAUGUUAGCAUUGAGAUGAACACAGAAGUCUCUUAUUGCACUGCCAACCCACUGUUUCUACUGCCAAUUAACUGGAAUUUAAAAGAACUAAAGGAAAAAUCUAUCAAUUCUAGAAAUCACAAUUAUUAAUGCAUAUAUUACACAUCACCAAGAAGAAUCUGAUAACGAUUCCGUGUAAUCCUACUCUGGACUAUUCAGGAUGUUAACCAUCCAUCUCUCUAGAGCAGUAAUGUAUUCCUCAGUAGUUAGGUGUCCUAGCUACACUGGCCAUCAUAAAUCUGUGCUAAAACACAAUCUGAUAACUGCGAUAAGUAGAUUAAUGUUACACUGAAAUAUAUGCCAUGUAUUCAUAGGAAGUGGACAUGUCACAUGAACAAGAGAGGGAAAUUGGUGGAAAACUUGUCAUAUAAUAGGAACAAUAUACCAAUGAUCUCUUUUAAACAGAUUGUUUUAGUUGCUUGUGGUUAUUUAUAAAUUAUUAUUUAUAAGUUAUCAAAUACUAUAGAUAAAUGUGACACUAUAGUAUGUGACAUGUGAAGUUUAGCAGUAUGUGUGACUUCAAUAGAUCUUGGAGUGCAAACCACACAGAGCAUAUGAGGCAACUGUGUAACUAACACCCUUUUCCAGUAAGGUAAGUCGAAUUGAAAAUUCAGACCAUAACCCUAAAGAAAGAUUGGAAAGUGUUGUUAAUUUUCUGUAUACCAGAUCUCUAGAGCUUAGUUAGAGGCAUUUUAAUCGGAAAGUAUUUUAUAUAUUCUUUGAGGCAUACCACAUUGACUUUCUAGUGGGUUCUUCAUUGUUAGAUAUCUGCCAUUUUUAAUUAAUUCAAUGACAGGCAGAAAUAAAGCAAGGGACCAUUUUAAACAACUUCCUAAGGUUUACAGGAUGUAACAUCUUUUGCACAAUGACUUGCUGUGAGUCUCCUUCACAGAGGAAACGGUGCAAGGCCAUUUUGCUUUCCUCAAUAUGUUAUUGACAGAAACCAAUAGUGGCCCGUGCCUCUGUUUGCUUAAUAAGUAACAGAAAUGUCCCAGUCAAUGAUUUUCCUGACAGAGACAUUAUCUUUGCCAUUUCCAUCUGAAAGCUCUUAAGAAGCAGACUACUGGUUAUUUAAAUAUUUUAAUUUUUUGGCAUUGCAAUAGUUAGAGAGAAUUUCAUGUGGAUUAAUUGGAUCCAUUGUAUUUAGAAGCAUCAAAGUGUUGGGUUAGUCCACAGAGAGUUUAAAAAGUUAAAUUUCUGUGACUACUAGUAUAAAUACCCACUGAAUAUUAAAGUUUGUAUUUUCCAAAAAAAAAAAGAAGACAAUAAUUUUGCAUCCUCCCUGUUUUAAGUUACUCUAUUCCCUGAAGUGUUUAAUGGUGUAUAUUAUAUGCUAUGUUUCAGAGUAUAUGAUAUGACAUCUUGCAGAAUCUGGAUUAGAAUAUGGGGCCUGGCAGAUGGUGUUCAGAUCUCACAGCUAACUCUACCUUUCUAAGGAUUCUUUCUCAAAAUAAUAAAAAUGAGGGGACCUAGAAUAGUUACUUCAACUGGUGAGAAAGGUAUAUCAGGAAGCCCAUGAUUUGGGUAUAUUGAACCCAGAAGUAGUAAAAGGUAAGUAGAGACUCCCCUGAAGAAUGAGUUGACCUGGAUGCCAUCAUGUUAGCCCAGAAGCCAGGGCAGCCAGAGCCAUACAAGAAGACAUGGAACAGCGGCAAUAAAAUGGCCUAGUGGACACUGAAUGGGCCAUGGGCUUACUUUGAGACACAGGAAGUGUUCAAGCUUGGUCACAGCUGGCUCUUGAAGAACACAUUAGCCUUUGUAUUCUUUUCCUUUACUUAGUGUUUCAAAUGGUUCUCCAGUGAGUGUCCCAGGAUGCUUUUGUUCAGGUCACCUUCUGUCUCAUGGUCUCCACAGCCCACAACCCACUAGAAGAAUCCUACCUGUAUAUCUGAUCCUGUACGUAUUUGCCUCCAAAGAGUGACUGUUGACUAUUCCACCACAUUUAUAUUCCAGAUUUGAUGUGCAUAUGGAUUCAUAACAAACUUUAAAUAGUCUGACAAAUACUAUUUGUACAUGUCUGCUUGAUUGAUGGGCUCAGUUUUGUGAAAAACUAUCAAUUAUUCUGAUGAACAUUCAUUAUUUAGAAGUCUACAUGAAUGUCAUAGACAUCAUCUCAUUGAGAAAGCUAUUGCAUUCAUGAAGAAGAUGAUGUAUACGUGACUGGUGGAUAGAGAAACAAAAUAUAGAGUUCUACUUAACUAUGCUAUCAUAAUUUAAAUGUUUUUCUCCUGCAUGCUUCUCUUCUUGUUAUAUGUCUAAUGAUUUUAUUAUGAGCCCUAUCUUUCAUAAUUUUCUGCUGUCUAGGAAGAUGAUGUUUUUACAGGGUUCUUAAGAUAGCACAGAACAUAUAUUCUUACAUUGCUUCAUCCUUCGUGCUAAUUCCCACUUAUGUAUCAAAGUAGAAU
rnacentral:sRNA from 1 species